UGGGGAAUAUUGGACAAUGGGCGCAAGCCUGAUCCAGCCAUGCCGCGUGUGUGAAGAAGGCCUUUUGGUUGUAAAGCACUUUAAGCGAGGAGGAGGCUACUUGGAUUAAUACUCUAGGAUAGUGGACGUUACUCGCAGAAUAAGCACCGGCUAACUCUGUGCCAGCAGCCGCGGUAAUACAGAGGGUGCGAGCGUUAAUCGGAUUUACUGGGCGUAAAGCGUGCGUAGGCGGCUUCUUAAGUCGGAUGUGAAAUCCCUGAGCUUAACUUAGGAAUUGCAUUCGAUACUGGGCAGCUAGAGUAUGGGAGAGGAUGGUAGAAUUCCAGGUGUAGCGGUGAAAUGCGUAGAGAUCUGGAGGAAUACCGAUGGCGAAGGCAGCCAUCUGGCCUAAUACUGACGCUGAGGUACGAAAGCAUGGGGAGCAAACAGG
rnacentral:rRNA from 1 species